rnacentral:rRNA from 1 species
AACGAACGCUGGCGGCAGGCUUAACACAUGCAAGUCGAACGCAUCCUUCGGGGUGAGUGGCAGACGGGUGAGUAACGCGUGAGAACGUGCCCUUCAGUUCGGGAUAACCCAGGGAAACUUGGGCUAAUACCGGAUACGUGCGAGAGCAGAAAGAUUUAUCGCUGAAGGAUCGGCCCGCGUCUGAUUAGCUAGUUGGUGGGGUAAUGGCCCACCAAGGGGACGAUCAGUAGCUGGUCUGAGAGGAUGAUCCGCCACAUUGGGACUGGGACACGGCCCAAACUCCUACGGGAGGCAGCAGUGGGGAAUAUUGGACAAUGGGCGCAAGCCUGAUCCAGCCAUGCCGCGUGAGUGAUGAAGGCCUUAGGGUUGUAAAGCUCUUUCGUCCGGGACGAUAAUGACGGUACCGGAAGAAGAAGCCCCGGCUAACUUCGUGCCAGCCGCCGCCGUAA